UCCCUGGUGGCUCAGGUGGUAAAGAAUCCACCUGCAAUGUGGGAGACCUAAGUUUGAUCCCUGGCUUGGGAA
rnacentral:tRNA from 1 species